UCAGGAUAGGUUCUAUCUCCAGCGUGUCCAACAAAGAAGAGCUUCCAUAAGGUCCUCCUCCAUUGACGAGCUCAUUGCACUUGCCGCCUCCUCUGCAGCACACGGUUUCACGUCAGAAAACAGCUCACCUGCUGGAGCCAAGGUCCACGAGGGAGUUGGCUUGAGACACGCCGCCGCUGCCGGGCGGAGAAAAUGUCAGCGGGGAGGAAAAACCUGACAGAGGAAGGCCUGCGGGGGAAAAAAUGGUGGAGGUGGCCAGAGGGGAGUCCUCCGCACGGUUGGCUAGCUCGCAGACAUCUGCAGAAAGAGAGAGAGAAGGCGACAUGACUGAGUGAGUACACCGAGAGCAUGCGGCGUGCGAGAGAGCGAGUGUACGUUUGGCUUGCUUCAGGGGAGAGAAGAAGCUGACAGGAAAAAAAAAUCGGGAAGGAAAAACCAAGCUCUGGAGGGA